AGGUGAACCUGCGGAAGGAUCAUUAUGAAUUAUGUAUGAGACGCGUGUGAAGCGGUGGCGGGCGCGGGGGGGGGUGUGGAGUGCGCUGAGCGUGCUCUGCGGGCCUCCCUGCUCGCUCUGCCACGGCAAAACGAGCAUUGUGUGACGUGCAACCAAAACCAAGUACAACUUUUAACAAUGGAUCUCUUGGCUCUCG
rnacentral:misc_RNA from 1 species